GAGACAGCGAAUAACCUUUUCCCUUGAUUUUGGAAUAAGGCAUUGAUUUGUCAUGCUGUUUUGUACAACCGAGAGCUCUCCCAGUGGUGCGCUACAAGCUUGAAAGGAGGCAAAGAGACAGCUACAUAGAGAAAAGGAGAAACGUUAAGGGUCUUCCCAUCAGAAGCACACCGGCUGAAAUGCUUCUCAGCUACUUUUAUUUUUUUUUCACCCAUCUACCUUUCGACCAAAGCAGUGAGUCCUUCUUCCUGUACUCUUUCACCUGCUGCUGUCAGUGGUUAUGUCCAAGAGCAGUGCAGCCUCAAGGGCUUCGAUCAGAGAGCUCUUCACUCUUAAAGGGCCGCAUCUCACAUCCGCCUACAGAUCGGGCUAUAUAGUCUUCUUUAAAUCCCCAUUGUUUAAAUAGAAAACAUAUGUAUUUGCAAGGAAUACCGCACUGUUAUAUAAAGAGAUAAUUUAAAAUUCCCAGUACACUGCAGAAAGGGAAAAUAGUUUUUCACUCAGUCCAUGUAUUGCGAUGUAAAAUUUGUGGUUGACAAGCAAUACCUGAAUAAUGAUCUACUGUGCAUUUUAGUUGUGUUGAUAUAAUUGCCAUAUUAACAUGAGUUAACAUUUAUUCAACCUUUUUCCAAUAACCUCCAAUGUGACCUGACAGUGCUCAUUUAAACAACGGAUACAUGGAGUUGCAUACAGAUAGAAUGAAAUUAUGCCAUGUAGCGAUUAUAUUUAUG
ensembl:lncRNA